AUACUACUCCCUCCGUUCGGAAUUACUUGUCUCGGAAAUGGAUGUAUCUAAAACUAAAAUACGUCUAGAUACAUCCAUUUCUGCGACAAGUAAUUCCGAACGGAGGGAGUAGUUA
rnacentral:pre_miRNA from 1 species